rnacentral:rRNA from 1 species
GCUUAACACAUGCAAGUCGAACGGUAAGGCCCUUUCGGGGGUACACGAGUGGCGAACGGGUGAGUAACACGUGGGUGAUCUGCCCUGCACUUUGGGAUAAGCCUGGGAAACUGGGUCUAAUACCGAAUACACCUUGCUGGUCGCAUGGCCUGGUGGGGGAAAGCUUUUGCGGUGUGGGAUGGGCCCGCGGCCUAUCAGCUUGUUGGUGGGGUGAUGGCCUACCAAGGCGACGACGGGUAGCCGGCCUGAGAGGGUGUCCGGCCACACUGGGACUGAGAUACGGCCCAGACUCCUACGGGAGGCAGCAGUGGGGAAUAUUGCACAAUGGGCGCAAGCCUGAUGCAGCGACGCCGCGUGAGGGAUGACGGCCUUCGGGUUGUAAACCUCUUUCAGUACCGACGAAGCGUAAGUGACGGUAGGUACAGAAGAAGCACCGGCCAACUACGUGCCAGCAGCCGCGGUAAUAC